AUUGAACGCUGGCGGCAGGCCUAACACAUGCAAGUCGGACGGUAGCACAGAGGAGCUUGCUCCUCGGGUGACGAGUGGCGGACGGGUGAGUAAUGUCUGGGAUCUGCCCGAUAGAGGGGGAUAACCACUGGAAACGGUGGCUAAUACCGCAUAACGUCGCAAGACCAAAGAGGGGGACCUUCGGGCCUCUCACUAUCGGAUGAACCCAGAUGGGAUUAGCUAGUAGGCGGGGUAACGGCCCACCUAGGCGACGAUCCCUAGCUGGUCUGAGAGGAUGACCAGCCACACUGGAACUGAGACACGGUCCAGACUCCUACGGGAGGCAGCAGUGGGGAAUAUUGCACAAUGGGCGCAAGCCUGAUGCAGCCAUGCCGCGUGUAUGAAGAAGGCCUUCGGGUUGUAAAGUACUUUCAGCGGGGAGGAAGGCGAUGUGGUUAAUAACCGCAUUGAUUGACGUUACCCGCAGAAGAAGCACCGGCUAACUACGUGCCAGCCGCCGCAGUAA
rnacentral:rRNA from 1 species